UUGAACGCUGGCGGCACGCCUAACACAUGCAAGUCGAGCGGUAGCAGUGGAUGUAGCAAUACAUUCAGCUGACGAGCGGCGGACGGGUGAGUAAUACGUAGGAACCUGCCCCUGGGCGGGGGACAACCAAGGGAAACCUUGGCUAAUACCGCAUAAACCCGGGAGGGCAAAGCUACCCGCAAGGGUGGUGCCUGGGGAGGGGCCUGCGUCCGAUUAGCUUGUUGGUGAGGUAAGGGCUCACCAAGGCGAUGAUCGGUAACUGGUCUGAGAGGACGACCAGUCACACUGGGACUGAGACACGGCCCAGACUCCUACGGGAGGCAGCAGUGGGGAAUAUUGGACAAUGGGGGCAACCCUGAUCCAGCGAUGCCGCGUGAGUGAAGAAGGCCCUCGGGUCGUAAAGCUCUUUAGGCCGGGAAGAAGUGAGGACGUUAAGAGAUGCUCCGUAUGAUGACGGUACGGUUAGAAUAAGCUCCGGCUAACUCCGUGCCAGCAGCCGCGGUAAUACAGAGGGUGCUAGCGUUAUUCGGAAUUACUGGGCGUAAAGGGCGCAGUAGGCGGUCAUGCGAGUCGUGAUGUGAAAGCCCCGGGCUUAACCGGGAAGCUGCAUCGCAUACUGGCAUGGACUGGAGUCGAUGAGAGGGAUGCGAGAAUUCCAGGUGUAGCGGUGAAAUGCGUAGAGAUCUGGAAGGAAGUACCGUGGCGAAGGCAGCAUCCUGGACCUACAUACUGACGCUGAGCGCGAAAGCGUAGGGGAGCGAAACGGAUUAGAUACCCCGGUAGUCCUACGCCGUAAACGAUGAGGACUAAGGUGUGGCAGGGUAUCGAUCCCUGCCGUGCCUGAAGCUAACGCGAUAAGUCUUCCGCCUGGGAAGUACGGUCCGCAAGGCUGAAACUCAAAUGAAUUGACGGGGGCCCGCACAAGCGGUGGAGCAUGUGGUUCAAUUCGACUGCAACGCGAAGAACCAUUACCCAGGCUCGAACGGCAUUGGACAUCCUGCGAAAGCAGGCUCCCGCAAGGGCCGAUGUCGAGGUGCUGCAUGGCUGUCGUCAGCUCGUGUCGUGAGAUGUUGGGUUAAGUCCCGCAACGAGCGCAACCCUUGUCCGCUGUUGCCAUCACGUUAUGGUGGGCACUCUGCGGAGACUGCCGGUGAUAAACCGGAGGAAGGUGGGGAUGACGUCAAGUCAGCAUGGCCUUUAUGUCUGGGGCUACACACGUGCUACAAUGGCCGAUACAAACCGUCGCGAUACCGCAAGGUGGAGCUAAUCGGAGAAAGUCGGUCUCAGUUCGGAUUGUAGGCUGCAACUCGCCUACAUGAAGUUGGAAUCGCUAGUAAUCGCGGAUCAGCACGCCGCGGUGAAUACGUUCCCGGGCCUUGUACACACUGCCCGUCACAUCACGAAAGCUGGCUGUACUAGAAGUCGCCGAGCUAACCCGCAAGGGAGGCAGGCGCCUAAGGUAUGGUCAGUGAUUGGGGUG
rnacentral:rRNA from 1 species